UACGUAGGGUGCGAGCGUUGUCCGGAAUUACUGGGCGUAAAGAGCUCGUAGGUGGUUUGUCGCGUUUGUUCGUGAAAACCGGGGGCUUAACCCUCGGCGUGCGGGCGAUACGGGCAGACUUGAGUACUGCAGGGGAGACUGGAAUUCCUGGUGUAGCGGUGAAAUGCGCAGAUAUCAGGAGGAACACCGGUGGCGAAGGCGGGUCUCUGGGCAAUAACUGACGCUGAGGAGCGAAAGCGUGGGGAGCGAACAGG
rnacentral:rRNA from 1 species